rnacentral:rRNA from 1 species
UGGUGGAGUGAUUUGUCUGGUUAAUUCCUAUAACGAACGAGACUCUGUCCUGCUAACUAGGUUGUGUUUUCUCGGGUUGGUGUUUCUGGUGUUCCUUCUCGGGGCGCCGGCCCAAUCCACUUGUGAACACAACACUCUUCUUAGAGGGACUGGCGGCUGUUAGCCGCACGAGAUAGAGCAAUAACA